rnacentral:rRNA from 1 species
UAACACGAACCGUACGAACGUUAUUCGGAAUCACUGGGCUUAAAGGGUGCGUAGGCGGCUUUGCAAGUUGGGUGUGAAAUCCCUCGGCUCAACCGAGGAAUUGCGCCCAAAACUGCCGGACUCGAGGGAGACAGAGGUGAGCGGAACUCAGGGUGGAGCGGUGAAAUGCGUUGAUAUCCUGAGGAACACCAGUGGCGAAAGCGGCUCACUGGGUCUCUUCUGACGCUGAGGCACGAAAGCUAGGGGAGCGAACGGGAUUAGAUACCCCGGUAGUCCUAGCUGUAAACGAUGAGCACUGGGCCGGAGAGUCCUCCAUAGCUUUCCGGCCGUAGCGAAAGUGUUAAGUGCUCCGCCUGGGGAGUAUGGUCGCAAGGCUG